rnacentral:rRNA from 1 species
CGGGACACGUGGUAUCCUGUCUGAAUAUGGGGGGACCAUCCUCCAAGGCUAAAUACUCCUGACUGACCGAUAGUGAACCAGUACCGUGAGGGAAAGGCGAAAAGAACCCCGGCGAGGGGAGUGAAAAAGAACCUGAAACCGUGUACGUACAAGCAGUGGGAGCACGCUUAGGCGUGUGACUGCGUACCUUUUGUAUAAUGGGUCAGCGACUUAUAUUCUGUAGCAAGGUUAACCGAAUAGGGGAGCCGAAGGGAAACCGAGUCUUAACUGGGCGUUAAGUUGCAGGGUAUAGACCCGAAACCCGGUGAUCUAGCCAUGGGCAGGUUGAAGGUUGGGUAACACUAACUGGAGGACCGAACCGACUAAUGUUGAAAAAUUAGCGGAUGACUUGUGGCUGGGGGUGAAAGGCCAAUCAAACCGGGAGAUAGCUGGUUCUCCCCGAAAGCUAUUUAGGUAGCGCCUCGUGAAUUCAUCUCCGGGGGUAGAGCACUGUUUCGGCAAGGGGGUCAUCCCGACUUACCAACCCGAUGCAAACUGCGAAUACCGGAGAAUGUUAUCACGGGAGACACACGGCGGGUGCUAACGUCCGUCGUGAAGAGGGAAACAACCCAGACCGCCAGCUAAGGUCCCAAAGUCAUGGUUAAGUGGGAAACGAUGUGGGAAGGCCCAGACAGCCAGGAUGUUGGCUUAGAAGCAGCCAUCAUUUAAAGAAAGCGUAAUAGCUCACUGGUCGAGUCGGCCUGCGCGGAAGAUGUAACGGGGCUAAACCAUGCACCGAAGCUGCGGCAGCGACGCUUAUGCGUUGUUGGGUAGGGGAGCGUUCUGUAAGCCUGUGAAGGUGUACUGUGAGGUAUGCUGGAGGUAUCAGAAGUGCGAAUGCUGACAUAAGUAACGAUAAAGCGGGUGAAAAGCCCGCUCGCCGGAAGACCAAGGGUUCCUGUCCAACGUUAAUCGGGGCAGGGUGAGUCGACCCCUAAGGCGAGGCCGAAAGGCGUAGUCGAUGGGAAACAGGUUAAUAUUCCUGUACUUGGUGUUACUGCGAAGGGGGGACGGAGAAGGCUAUGUUGGCCGGGCGACGGUUGUCCCGGUUUAAGCGUGUAGGCUGGUUUUCCAGGCAAAUCCGGAAAAUCAAGGCUGAGGCGUGAUGACGAGGCACUACGGUGCUGAAGCAACAAAUGCCCUGCUUCCAGGAAAAGCCUCUAAGCAUCAGGUAACAUCAAAUCGUACCCCAAACCGACACAGGUGGUCAGGUAGAGAAUACCAAGGCGCUUGAGAGAACUCGGGUGAAGGAACUAGGCAAAAUGGUGCCGUAACUUCGGGAGAAGGCACGCUGAUAUGUAGGUGAAGUCCCUCGCGGAUGGAGCUGAAAUCAGUCGAAGAUACCAGCUGGCUGCAACUGUUUAUUAAAAACACAGCACUGUGCAAACACGAAAGUGGACGUAUACGGUGUGACGCCUGCCCGGUGCCGGAAGGUUAAUUGAUGGGGUUAGCGCAAGCGAAGCUCUUGAUCGAAGCCCCGGUAAACGGCGGCCGUAACUAUAACGGUCCUAAGGUAGCGAAAUUCCUUGUCGGGUAAGUUCCGACCUGCACGAAUGGCGUAAUGAUGGCCAGGCUGUCUCCACCCGAGACUCAGUGAAAUUGAACUCGCUGUGAAGAUGCAGUGUACCCGCGGCAAGACGGAAAGACCCCGUGAACCUUUACUAUAGCUUGACACUGAACAUUGAGCCUUGAUGUGUAGGAUAGGUGGGAGGCUUUGAAGUGUGGACGCCAGUCUGCAUGGAGCCGACCUUGAAAUACCACCCUUUAAUGUUUGAUGUUCUAACGUUGACCCGUAAUCCGGGUUGCGGACAGUGUCUGGUGGGUAGUUUGACUGGGGCGGUCUCCUCCUAAAGAGUAACGGAGGAGCACGAAGGUUGGCUAAUCCUGGUCGGACAUCAGGAGGUUAGUGCAAUGGCAUAAGCCAGCUUGACUGCGAGCGUGACGGCGCGAGCAGGUGCGAAAGCAGGUCAUAGUGAUCCGGUGGUUCUGAAUGGAAGGGCCAUCGCUCAACGGAUAAAAGGUACUCCGGGGAUAACAGGCUGAUACCGCCCAAGAGUUCAUAUCGACGGCGGUGUUUGGCACCUCGAUGUCGGCUCAUCACAUCCUGGGGCUGAAGUAGGUCCCAAGGGUAUGGCUGUUCGCCAUUUAAAGUGGUACGCGAGCUGGGUUUAGAACGUCGUGAGACAGUUCGGUCCCUA